GCGAGGGCAUAUAGUCCUCGCUUUUCUCAACCGUAGGGAGGUUGAGGAACAAGUGCUGGGCAAGACCGGUGCCAGCCGCCGCGGUAAUACCGGCAGCACAAGUGAUGACCGCUGUUAUUGGGCCUAAAGCGUCCGUAGCUGGCCAGACAAGUUCAUCGGGAAAUCUGCGCGCUUAACGCGCAGGCGUCCGGUGGAAACUGCCUGGCUUGGGACCGGAAGACCAGAGGGGUACGUCUGGGGUAGGAGUGAAAUCCCGUAAUCCUGGACGGACCACCGGUGGCGAAAGCGCCUCUGGAAGACGGAUCCGACGGUGAGGGACGAAAGCUCGGGUCACGAACCGGAUUAGAUACCCGGGUAGUCCGAGCUGUAAACGAUGUCUGCUAGGUGUGACACAGGCUACAAGCCUGUGUUGUGCCGUAGGGAAGCCGUGAAGCAGACCGCCUGGGAAGUACGUCCGCAAGGAUGAAACUUAAAGGAAUUGGCGGGGGGAGCAAAA
rnacentral:rRNA from 1 species